rnacentral:rRNA from 1 species
GACGAACGCUGGCGGCGUGCUUAACACAUGCAAGUCGAACGGAAAGGCCCCUUUGGGGGUACUCGAGUGGCGAUCGGGUGAGUAACACGUGAGUAACCUGCCCUUGACUUCGGGAUAACUUAAGGAAACUGGGGCUAAUACCGGAUAGGAAUCCUUGCUGCAUGGUGGGGGUUGGAAAGCUUCGGCGGUUUUGGAUGGACUCGCGGCUUAUCAGCUUGUUGGUGGGGUAGUGGCUUACCAAGGCUUUGACGGGUAGCCGGCCUGAGAGGGCGACCGGCCACAUUGGGACUGAGAUACGGCCCAGACUCCUACGGGAGGCAGCAGUGGGGAAUAUUGCACAAUGGGCGGAAGCCUGAUGCAGCAACGCCGCGUGCGGGAUGACGGCCUUCGGGUUGUAAACCGCUUUCAGCAGGGGCGAAGCUUGUGGUGACGGUACCUGCAGAAGAAGCACCGGCUAACUACGU